AAGUAAAGAAGUAAAAAAAAUUUAAUUUCGACUUAAAAAAAAGGAUAAUCCACAUACUUA
rnacentral:tRNA from 1 species